rnacentral:lncRNA from 1 species
UUUGGAUCUUCAAUAUUAUUACUAUCAAAGUUUUUUUUGCUUUCACUAAAUUGUACAUGUACAUAUAUUUUAAGAAAUUUGAAAAAUGUAUCUUACGAACUAAUAUCUAAUUAAUCUCUCCUUAGCCUCUUUAAAGGGUAACAGCUUGUUGAAUGACUGAAGAAGGAAUAAGAAUCAGUUCAAACUUGGAAAGAAUAAAACUCUGUGUGUGUGUGUGUGUGUGUGUGUGUGUGUGUGUGUGUGUGUGGUGUGUAGUUUGGCUGGUUUGAGAAAGUCUUUAUUUUUCCUUCAUUUAUUUAUAAAUAAGCUUUUUAUACUGAGGUAAUCAUAGAUUCACACGGAGUUGUAAGAACUACGAGAGAGGGAUCUCAUGUGCUUAUGCCUAGUAUUCCCCAAUGGUAACAUCUUGCAAAAGCAUAAGACAAUAUUAUAACCAAGAUACUGACAUAGAUACAGUCAAGAUUCAGAGCAUUUUCAUCACAGCAAGGAUUCCUCAUGUUUCUCUUUUAUCGUUAUAGCCACUUCCUUCCUGCAUGGAUUCCCACCUUAACCCCCUGGCAACCACUAGUCUAUUCUCCAUUUCUAUCAUUUUCUCAUUUCAAGGAUGUUAUAUAAAGGGAAUCCUACCAUAUAUAAUCUUGGGAAACUGGCUUUAUUUUCACUUAGGAUAGUUCUUUGGUGAUUCAUUAAGGUUGCUGAAUGCAUCAACAGUUUGUUCCUUUUUAUUGGGAGUAGUGAUCCAUAGUAAGUUGUACUAUGUUUUGUUUAAUAACCAUUUUUCCAUGGAGAGAUAUCUGAUUAUUUCCAGUUCUUGGUUAUUAUAAAUAGAUGUGCCACAAUGUUCAAGUUUGUUCUCAUUUCCCUGGAAUAAAUGCCAAAGAGUACAAUUGCUGGGUCAUAUAUAAAUGCAGUUGAAUAUUUAACUGUUUAAAAAACUGCCAAACUGUACUAUUAGAGAAAUGCAAAUUAAAACCACAGAAAAGUAUUACUGCACGUCUAGCAGAAUGAUGAAAAUAGGGACAAAAACAAGCACAGCGAGGAUACAGAGGACUUGCGUCACUGUCUCAUUACUGGUGCAAAACCAGUUUGAAGAGACAUAUUUUAUCUACAUCUCCUGAGGUCAUUUGUUCUCCAUUUUAGAUCCACUCUUAGAGACCUCUUGAAAUCUACUUGGUGAGCCUAACUUUAAAUAAAGGUACACCUAAGAGUUAGGGACAAGAAUCUACAGUCAGUCAUCAUUACUCAUGGAUUUCAUAUUUACAGACCUGCCUACUCCCUAAAAUUACCUGUAACUCUCAAAUCAAUAGCCACAGCUAUUUCAUGUCCCUUCACAGACAUGUGGAGAGCAGCGAAAAAAUUGUCACCCAAAGUUCAUGUUCCCAGAUGAGGUUCAACAAGGCGACAUUCUGCCUUGCUCCUGUUUUAUAUCUCAUAUUGUACACAACUGUCCUUUUGGUGUGUGUUCUAUUUAGUGCCACAUUUUUCUCAUGUUGUGCUUUUUGCUGCUGAUUUCACUACAGUGAUAUAGUGCCAUCUAGUAUUCCUAAGUGCAAGAAGUCUUUGAUGUACCGUAUGAAGAAAAGAGAUGUGUUGAUAAGCCUUGUUCAAGCGUUAGUUAUAGUACUGUUGGUCAUGAAUUCAAUGUUAAUAAAUCAAUGCUGUAUGUUAAACAAGGUGUCCUUUAACAGAAACACACAUAAAACAAGGUCGUGUAUCGAUUGUUUUAUGACAAUGUGUGACCACAGGCUCGAAGGAACGUCCUCUGUAUUUCCCGUGGGAGCAACAGUUCAGUAUUUGCUAAUUCAGUGCUCACAGCAAUUAUGUUCUUUAAAGAACAUAAUAACCACAAACAACAAGAACUGACUGUGUUUUACUCUAUGGAGGAAUCACAGUCAAAUCAUAACAACAACAAAAACCAACCUAAAACAAACCUCCCUCCAAAAAAAUACUUUCCUCAUUCCCAACUCACUUUUCUUUUCCCUAUCAGGUAGAGUUAGGGGACCACACAGCCCAGUUUUGGGGAGAAAGUCUUGGUUUGUCAAAUGUAUCAAUAGUUUGUUUCUUUUCAUUGAGAGUAGUGAUCCACAGUAGACCACUUUUUCAUGUAUUGUGUCUCAUUUUGUAGUCAAAAUACCAUGGGGCCGGGUGUGGUGGCUCAUGCCUGUAAUCCCAGUUCAGUUUUUGUUUUUUUUUUCUAAAUCUGUGAGAUUUUUUUUUCUAAAUCUGUGAGAUGGGGUAACAUUAGCACUCAUAUCCUAUUGUGAGGAUUACCAAAGUUCAUACUUGUUAAAGCAUGUCAAACAGUGCCUGGCACAUGUUAAAUGCUGUUAAUGUAAGCUCUUAUUAUUAACCAUUGUUCACCUUAUAUGAGGGACUGCAGUGAAACAAACACAACCAUAUUCAGCUUCAUUCUGGACCUUUAACUCUGCCAAAACCCCUUCCUGUCUAGAGCAAUACUUCCCUUUCCCCUUUUCUUGUUUUUCUCAGUGCUGUGUCGGGUCUGUGACAUCAAAUAUUAUCUUGCGUGUAUGGCCACCAAGCCUGUAUUCAUAUAUAUAUAUAUAUAUAUAUAUAUAUAGAGAGAGAGAGAGAGAGAGAGAGAGAGAGAGAGAGAGAGACACAGAGAUGUAUAUAUGUCACUUACCCCACAUACUCUGAAGCUAUCUGCACAUGCAAGUAGCCACAAAGUUGUAGUGAGACUUUUCAAUUAUUUGCCAUAUAUAGAUUUUGCUGUAUGUAGGAAUACUCUACGCAAUCACCCAGAUAAGCUUCUCAGUUAUUCUUGGCAUCCUAUUUUAAGAUACAGAAAGAAUGGGCAAUUGACUGAGCAUAAAUUAAUUCCCUUAUUUUUUGAAAGGUAUAUAUCUUGUCUAACCAACAGUAGUCUUUUAGGGGGCCGGAAGUGGUCCUGAAACAGGGGGCACUCCUAAACAUCUCCAAAACUUAAACCAACAUCAAACCCAUUGAAAUCUCAUAUCCUGUGAAGUUUCCCAGGUUAAGACAAUUAAAUACUAUAGCUGUUUACUACUACCAGAAAGAGGGACCAAGUGUUAGUUCCCAAGUCCUCACUAAAUCUUUUAUAGAUUCUUACACUAAAAAAGCACACAAUGUUCUUUAGAUUAACACACCAAAUUCUUAGCAGGAAGUUAGAGUAUUCCCAGUAAAUCCCAAGCAGGGCCAGGGGGAGCACAGGCAUUCAUGUGUGUUUGACCUAAGGCUCUUUCUCUAGUGAAAAUUAUUUCUCUUUCACCAGUAAGAAGAACCUACAUGAACAAGUGCUGAAGGAAAGAGAUACCUGCCCAUCUCAGUCAAAUGACCUAGUCUCAGUUAUCAAUGCAAAUGGUGGAUAUCACCACCAUUUUUUUUCCAACAUCCAGGGCAGAGAAAGAAUCUGUGUUUAGCUUCAGUGAAUUUAGGGUUGACACUAAUGCUUCAAUAAGGACAAAGAUAACAAAAAGUUGAGUGGCUAAAUAUGUGGCUCUUUAAUGCAGACCAAUGAUUAUUCCAGGAAUCUUCCUCUCUCUCCAAUUUCCAGGAUUGAGAAACAGACUAAAAUACUUAGAAAGCAAACCCAGAUCAUCUGAGUAAGACAUUAUGCUUCAAGAAUGGAAGAUAACCUACCAGCUUUACCAUAAUCUCAGGUUUCUAGAAACAUAUGUAAUACUACAAAACAAAAGCAAAGCUCACCUUAGGUUGAAGAAGGACAUAAACAAAAUAUAGUGAUGCAUUCCCUGGGUUUUGGGGAAAAUCUAUCCGGAUGAAGCUUGGUGAUGCUGAUGGCAGACUAUUUAGUAAACUAACAAAUUUUGUGAGACUCUAUCUUGUAACUUUUUUUUUUUUUUUUUUUUUUUUUUUGAGGCAGAGUCUUGCUCCGUGUCCUAGGCUAGAGCGCAACAGCGCAAUCUCGGCUAACUGCAACCUCUGCCUCCCGGGU